rnacentral:rRNA from 1 species
UACGUAGGGGGCUAGCGUUGUCCGGAUUUAUUGGGCGUAAAGAGCGUGUAGGCGGCCAGGUAGGUCUGCUGUGAAAACUCGAGGCUCAACCUCGAGACGUCGGCGGAAACCAUCUGGCUAGAGUCCGGAAGAGGAGAGUGGAAUUCCCGGUGUAGCGGUGAAAUUCGUAGAUAUUCGGAAAGAACACCAGUGGCGAAGGCGACUUACUGGACACAUAUUGACGCUGAGGUGCGAAAGCGUGGGGAGCAAACAGG